GACGAACGCUGGCGGCGUGCCUAAUACAUGCAAGUCGAACGCACUCUCGUUUAGAUUGAAGGAGCUUGCUCCUGAUUGAUAAACAUUUGAGUGAGUGGCGGACGGGUGAGUAACACGUGGGUAACCUGCCCUAAAGUGGGGGAUAACAUUUGGAAACAGAUGCUAAUACCGCAUAAAACCUAACACCGCAUGGUGUAGGGUUGAAAGAUGGUUUCGGCUAUCACUUUAGGAUGGACCCGCGGUGCAUUAGUUAGUUGGUGAGGUAAAGGCUCACCAAGACCGUGAUGCAUAGCCGACCUGAGAGGGUAAAUCGGCCACACUGGGACUGAGACACGGCCCAGACUCCUACGGGAGGCAGCAGUAGGGAAUCUUCCACAAUGGACGAAAGUCUGAUGGAGCAACGCCGCGUGAGUGAAGAAGUUUUCGGAUCGUAAAACUCUGUUGUUGGAGAAGAAUGUAUCUGAUAGUAACUGAUCAGGUAGUGACGGUAUCCAACCAGAAAGCCAC
rnacentral:rRNA from 1 species